UACAGAGGUCUCAAGCGUUGUUCGGAUUCAUUGGGCGUAAAGGGUGCGUAGGUGGCGCCGUAAGUCAGGUGUGAAAUUUCGAGGCUUAACUUCGAAACUGCAUUCGAUACUGCCGUGCUUGAGGACUGGAGAGGAGACUGGAAUUUACGGUGUAGCAGUGAAAUGCGUAGAGAUCGUAAGGAAGACCAGUGGCGAAGGCGGGUCUCUGGACAGUUCCUGACACUGAGGCACGAAGGCCAGGGGAGCAAACGGG
rnacentral:rRNA from 1 species